UUCAGUGACUGGGGAUGCUGACUUGGAGCACACGUCAACACACUUUUCUUCAGGGGCCGUUAACAAGAACAGAAGGGCUUCUGAUCAAAUCAGAGCAGGGCAUCCAUCGUGCUGAACCUUUGUGCCAACCAUGUGAAUACAUACCUCCAAGACACUGUUUGCGGCACUGUGACUGGGGAUGCUGACUUGGAGCACACGUCAACACACUUUUCUUCAGGGGCCGUUAACAAGAACAGAAGGGCUUCUGAUCAAAUCAGAGCAGGGCAUCCAUCGUGCUGAACCUUUGUGCCAACCAUGUGAAUACAUACCUCCAAGACACUGUUUGCGGCACUGUGACUGGGGAUGCUGACUUGGAGCACACGUCAACACACUUUUCUUCAGGGGCCGUUAACAAGAACAGAAGGGCUUCUGAUCAAAUCAGAGCAGGGCAUCCAUCGUGCUGAACCUUUGUGCCAACCAUGUGAAUACAUACCUCCAAGACACUGUUUGCGGCACUGUGACUGGGGAUGCUGACUUGGAGCACACGUCAACACACUUUUCUUCAGGGGCCGUUAACAAGAACAGAAGGGCUUCUGAUCAAAUCAGAGCAGGGCAUCCAUCGUGCUGAACCUUUGUGCCAACCAUGUGAAUACAUACCUCCAAGACACUGUUUGCGGCACUGUGACUGGGGAUGCUGACUUGGAGCACACGUCAACACACUUUUCUUCAGGGGCCGUUAACAAGAACAGAAGGGCUUCUGAUCAAAUCAGAGCAGGGCAUCCAUCGUGCUGAACCUUUGUGCCAACCAUGUGAAUACAUACCUCCAAGACACUGUUUGCGGCACUGUGACUGGGGAUGCUGACUUGGAGCACACGUCAACACACUUUUCUUCAGGGGCCGUUAACAAGAACAGAAGGGCUUCUGAUCAAAUCAGAGCAGGGCAUCCAUCGUGCUGAACCUUUGUGCCAACCAUGUGAAUACAUACCUCCAAGACACUGUUUGCGGCACUGUGACUGGGGAUGCUGACUUGGAGCACACGUCAACACACUUUUCUUCAGGGGCCGUUAACAAGAACAGAAGGGCUUCUGAUCAAAUCAGAGCAGGGCAUCCAUCGUGCUGAACCUUUGUGCCAACCAUGUGAAUACAUACCUCCAAGACACUGUUUGCGGCACUGUGACUGGGGAUGCUGACUUGGAGCACACGUCAACACACUUUUCUUCAGGGGCCGUUAACAAGAACAGAAGGGCUUCUGAUCAAAUCAGAGCAGGGCAUCCAUCGUGCUGAACCUUUGUGCCAACCAUGUGAAUACAUACCUCCAAGACACUGUUUGCGGCACUGUGACUGGGGAUGCUGACUUGGAGCACACGUCAACACACUUUUCUUCAGGGGCCGUUAACAAGAACAGAAGGGCUUCUGAUCAAAUCAGAGCAGGGCAUCCAUCGUGCUGAACCUUUGUGCCAACCAUGUGAAUACAUACCUCCAAGACACUGUUUGCGGCACUGUGACUGGGGAUGCUGACUUGGAGCACACGUCAACACACUUUUCUUCAGGGGCCGUUAACAAGAACAGAAGGGCUUCUGAUCAAAUCAGAGCAGGGCAUCCAUCGUGCUGAACCUUUGUGCCAACCAUGUGAAUACAUACCUCCAAGACACUGUUUGCGGCACUGUGACUGGGGAUGCUGACUUGGAGCACACGUCAACACACUUUUCUUCAGGGGCCGUUAACAAGAACAGAAGGGCUUCUGAUCAAAUCAGAGCAGGGCAUCCAUCGUGCUGAACCUUUGUGCCAACCAUGUGAAUACAUACCUCCAAGACACUGUUUGCGGCACUGUGACUGGGGAUGCUGACUUGGAGCACACGUCAACACACUUUUCUUCAGGGGCCGUUAACAAGAACAGAAGGGCUUCUGAUCAAAUCAGAGCAGGGCAUCCAUCGUGCUGAACCUUUGUGCCAACCAUGUGAAUACAUACCUCCAAGACACUGUUUGCGGCACUGUGACUGGGGAUGCUGACUUGGAGCACACGUCAACACACUUUUCUUCAGGGGCCGUUAACAAGAACAGAAGGGCUUCUGAUCAAAUCAGAGCAGGGCAUCCAUCGUGCUGAACCUUUGUGCCAACCAUGUGAAUACAUACCUCCAAGACACUGUUUGCGGCACUGUGACUGGGGAUGCUGACUUGGAGCACACGUCAACACACUUUUCUUCAGGGGCCGUUAACAAGAACAGAAGGGCUUCUGAUCAAAUCAGAGCAGGGCAUCCAUCGUGCUGAACCUUUGUGCCAACCAUGUGAAUACAUACCUCCAAGACACUGUUUGCGGCACUGUGACUGGGGAUGCUGACUUGGAGCACACGUCAACACACUUUUCUUCAGGGGCCGUUAACAAGAACAGAAGGGCUUCUGAUCAAAUCAGAGCAGGGCAUCCAUCGUGCUGAACCUUUGUGCCAACCAUGUGAAUACAUACCUCCAAGACACUGUUUGCGGCACUGUGACUGGGGAUGCUGACUUGGAGCACACGUCAACACACUUUUCUUCAGGGGCCGUUAACAAGAACAGAAGGGCUUCUGAUCAAAUCAGAGCAGGGCAUCCAUCGUGCUGAACCUUUGUGCCAACCAUGUGAAUACAUACCUCCAAGACACUGUUUGCGGCACUGUGACUGGGGAUGCUGACUUGGAGCACACGUCAACACACUUUUCUUCAGGGGCCGUUAACAAGAACAGAAGGGCUUCUGAUCAAAUCAGAGCAGGGCAUCCAUCGUGCUGAACCUUUGUGCCAACCAUGUGAAUACAUACCUCCAAGACACUGUUUGCGGCACUGUGACUGGGGAUGCUGACUUGGAGCACACGUCAACACACUUUUCUUCAGGGGCCGUUAACAAGAACAGAAGGGCUUCUGAUCAAAUCAGAGCAGGGCAUCCAUCGUGCUGAACCUUUGUGCCAACCAUGUGAAUACAUACCUCCAAGACACUGUUUGCGGCACUGUGACUGGGGAUGCUGACUUGGAGCACACGUCAACACACUUUUCUUCAGGGGCCGUUAACAAGAACAGAAGGGCUUCUGAUCAAAUCAGAGCAGGGCAUCCAUCGUGCUGAACCUUUGUGCCAACCAUGUGAAUACAUACCUCCAAGACACUGUUUGCGGCACUGUGACUGGGGAUGCUGACUUGGAGCACACGUCAACACACUUUUCUUCAGGGGCCGUUAACAAGAACAGAAGGGCUUCUGAUCAAAUCAGAGCAGGGCAUCCAUCGUGCUGAACCUUUGUGCCAACCAUGUGAAUACAUACCUCCAAGACACUGUUUGCGGCACUGUGACUGGGGAUGCUGACUUGGAGCACACGUCAACACACUUUUCUUCAGGGGCCGUUAACAAGAACAGAAGGGCUUCUGAUCAAAUCAGAGCAGGGCAUCCAUCGUGCUGAACCUUUGUGCCAACCAUGUGAAUACAUACCUCCAAGACACUGUUUGCGGCACUGUGACUGGGGAUGCUGACUUGGAGCACACGUCAACACACUUUUCUUCAGGGGCCGUUAACAAGAACCGAAGGGCUUCUGAUCAAAUCAGAGCAGGGCAUCCAUCGUGCUGAACCUUUGUGCCAACCAUGUGAAUACAUACCUCCAAGACACUGUUUGCGGCACUGUGACUGGGGAUGCUGACUUGGAGCACACGUCAACACACUUUUCUUCAGGGGCCGUUAACAAGAACAGAAGGGCUUCUGAUCAAAUCAGAGCAGGGCAUCCAUCGUGCUGAACCUUUGUGCCAACCAUGUGAAUACAUACCUCCAAGACACUGUUUGCGGCACUGUGACUGGGGAUGCUGACUUGGAGCACACGUCAACACACUUUUCUUCAGGGGCCGUUAACAAGAACCGAAGGGCUUCUGAUCAAAUCAGAGCAGGGCAUCCAUCGUGCUGAACCUUUGUGCCAACCAUGUGAAUACAUACCUCCAAGACACUGUUUGCGGCACUGUGACUGGGGAUGCUGACUUGGAGCACACGUCAACACACUUUUCUUCAGGGGCCGUUAACAAGAACAGAAGGGCUUCUGAUCAAAUCAGAGCAGGGCAUCCAUCGUGCUGAACCUUUGUGCCAACCAUGUGAAUACAUACCUCCAAGACACUGUUUGCGGCACUGUGACUGGGGAUGCUGACUUGGAGCACACGUCAACACACUUUUCUUCAGGGGCCGUUAACAAGAACCGAAGGGCUUCUGAUCAAAUCAGAGCAGGGCAUCCAUCGUGCUGAACCUUUGUGCCAACCAUGUGAAUACAUACCUCCAAGACACUGUUUGCGGCACUGUGACUGGGGAUGCUGACUUGGAGCACACGUCAACACACUUUUCUUCAGGGGCCGUUAACAAGAACAGAAGGGCUUCUGAUCAAAUCAGAGCAGGGCAUCCAUCGUGCUGAACCUUUGUGCCAACCAUGUGAAUACAUACCUCCAAGACACUGUUUGCGGCACUGUGACUGGGGAUGCUGACUUGGAGCACACGUCAACACACUUUUCUUCAGGGGCCGUUAACAAGAACCGAAGGGCUUCUGAUCAAAUCAGAGCAGGGCAUCCAUCGUGCUGAACCUUUGUGCCAACCAUGUGAAUACAUACCUCCAAGACACUGUUUGCGGCACUGUGACUGGGGAUGCUGACUUGGAGCACACGUCAACACACUUUUCUUCAGGGGCCGUUAACAAGAACAGAAGGGCUUCUGAUCAAAUCAGAGCAGGGCAUCCAUCGUGCUGAACCUUUGUGCCAACCAUGUGAAUACAUACCUCCAAGACACUGUUUGCGGCACUGUGACUGGGGAUGCUGACUUGGAGCACACGUCAACACACUUUUCUUCAGGGGCCGUUAACAAGAACAGAAGGGCUUCUGAUCAAAUCAGAGCAGGGCAUCCAUCGUGCUGAACCUUUGUGCCAACCAUGUGAAUACAUACCUCCAAGACACUGUUUGCGGCACUGUGACUGGGGAUGCUGACUUGGAGCACACGUCAACACACUUUUCUUCAGAGAUCUGAGCUGCCUUUUGGACCCCACCACAUAAUACCUUUCAGAAAUCUAAGACUGGAAAAUUCAUUUCAGAAAAUACAGGCCUGCUUAUUGUGUGACUAAAGAACACAAGGCACAGUAGCCAUCCUUUCUGUUAUGCUGCAACACUGAUCGAGUGCCUUGGAAAAUAGCUGAUUAAACAAGAUGAUGGCAACACAAGGGGAGACUUUGGAUUGUCUAUUUAAAAUCUAGCAUGCCAAAUCCUUUGGCAUAUGUGAUGGCCUUCAACAAUCUCUCUUUAAGUUUUUCUUUGCUUGUAUAUUCCGGAAGUAAAAGGACAUUAAAGCAAGUAUGAGAUGAAGGCUCUGAAACUUGACUUAAAUCAGUCACCUAAGAAGGCAUCGUUGCGGGUUAUGGAGAAAGCAGAUAAAUCGCGGAGUCUCAAUGGAGAAACAAACUACUCUUAUGGGUGGACCCCAUUUCUAUCAGUAGAUGGCCAAUACAAAACUAAGUCAAUGGAUCUACAGAGGUUCUUCCUCCCACAACGAGUCUCUCUUUGGCCUACAAGACGGAAGAUCAGCGCAGGCUGUACUGUCAGGAAGCCCCAGGCAUCUGCCAGUACCUGACUAUCUACCAUCAAGAUUGCAAGGCCUUUGUUAACAAAGUUUUGAGGAUUAAUCUCAGGUCUACUUUUCAAAAUGACAGGAUCACAACCAAGUGUGACCAACGAGAACUAUUCUUAUGAAAAAAAGCACAAGAUUUAAAACACAACAGUGGCACAUGGCAAGCCAAGACAAGAGCAAACAGAAUAAAGCUGACUCAUCAGUUCAUCGGGAUCUUUGUAGAUAUUGCUUGCUGUAAACCUCCUUUCUGUUACUAAACUGACGUAACUUGCGAUCAGUAAUGCUGAUGGGGGUCCUCAAUUAAGGUAUGUGUCUAAAGGUUCCUAUUCUGUGACUGAGGAAAAGCAAACUCUGAAGUUAAAGCUUCUACUGAGGCUACUACUACUGCAAUCUGUUACCAUGACUCAGGUCCUCACAGCCUUAACAAAGCAAUUGGAAAUUAUUAGAGGCAAUUAAAAAUAAACAGUGGGUAAAAGCUAAGAAAGUAAAGACCAUAAGCACCAAAACUUACAUACAUUUUCUCCCAGGCACGAAACUAGGGUCAUUAACUUCCUAGCUUCCCUCACCUUUAUAGUAAAUGUCACUCUCAUUAAAGGCUAUACCCUUUCGAAGCAACAAAGCAAAAGAUAUUUUAUCUUACUGACAAAAGAUGAAUGACAUUUUAUACGGUAAAAUUUUAGAAAUCAAAUAGCAAAUAAUAAUGCUGAAACCAAAAUAACCUCUUUGUUGAAGAGUACUAUAAUCAUUAAAUCAAUUAUGUAAGGAAGGAUAAUUUUACAGCUAUGUUGACAAUCUAUCCCUAUUUUCACUAUGCCAAGUAUUUCCUUACCUAUACUCAGCAAGUAAAAAUCCUUUUAUAAAAAAUAAUUUAUUUUACAUCCUGGCUGAAGUUGCCCUCCCCCUCUUCUCCCAGUCCCUUCCCCCUCAUCCCCUUCUGCUCUGACCCCUGAAUCCACUCCUCAUUUUCUGUUUAGGAAAGGACAGGUCUCCCACAACAAAACAGAAACAGCUGUAGUUGUAUUAACAAGACAAUAGUAUGUAAAAAUCUUUACUAUAAUCACUACAUAUUCUUCAAGGUACUUACUCAACAGUAAGAAACAAUAUAAAAUUCAAGUCAUCAUUGAUGGAAUGGCUUCCAGAAGAUGGACUAUGAAGCACUAAACUUUAUAUACUACAAACCUGAUCUGUGGCCUGCUCCAAGAGUUAUCAACACUUGUUUGCUUAAUGAUCUUGAAUUCUUUCCUUAAAAAAAAUAAUUUGUCCUUAUAUGUAUUUAUGAGAAGUAAGGGGUGCUGAGAGGGUAACCUGAAGGAGUUGGUUUACUCCUUCCACAGUGUGGUCCCUGACAUGAGGCCUGGCGGUAGGUUCCAUGUACCUGGAUGAGCCAGUAUGCCAAUCCAAGCACUAAUUCUUCAGUUUAUUAAGAUUAAGUAAGUAUGAAAGCACUAACAUGGAGCUUAUUUCUCAUUAAUCCAAUGAAAAUAUUAUGGUAUCUUUUUUGACCACUCAAGUAUAUUUAAUUUCUCUAAAGUGUUAGCAAAAACAUAGAAAACAUGUAUGAUGAAUGAACAGUGUGUUAGGAGAUAACAUGUUUGACGUACAGUGUUCUGUUUGAAAUGUUUAAUUGACAACUCUCUUCUCCCUCCCCUACCUCCGUGUGUGUGUGUGUGUGUGUGUGUGUGUGUGUGUGUGUGUGUGUGCGCAUGUGCAUGUGUGCGUGUGUGUGUAAAAAGCACUGCAAUCAGAAAUAAAAAGUUAUAGUCUGGAUAGCAAUGAACAAGUAACUAAAGAAACCGUUUUAAGACUCACUUGUAUAUUCUAAUAUAUAUGUUUCUGAAACUGUUUGAGACAUGAUGUUACAUCAUAUAACACAGGCUAGAAUGGAAUUCAAGAUGCUCCUUCCUUAACUUUCUAAGUACCUGCACAACGCAAGACUCAUCUCAAAAACAAUCUUAAAGCCGGGUGGUGGUGGCGCACUCCUUUAAUCCCAGCACUCGGGAGGCAGAGGCAGGCGAACCUCUGGGAGUUCGAGGCCAGCCUGGU